AUUGAACGCUGGCGGCAUGCUUUACACAUGCAAGUCGAACGGUAACAGGUUAAGCUGACGAGUGGCGAACGGGUGAGUAAUGCAUCGGAACGUGCCCGAUCGUGGGGGACAACACUUCGAAAGAAGUGCUAAUACCGCAUACGAUCUGAGGAUGAAAGCGGGGGACCGUAAGGCCUCGCGCGAUCGGAGCGGCCGAUGUCAGAUUAGGUAGUUGGUGGGGUAAAGGCUCACCAAGCCGACGAUCUGUAGCUGGUCUGAGAGGACGACCAGCCACACUGGGACUGAGACACGGCCCAGACUCCUACGGGAGGCAGCAGUGGGGAAUUUUGGACAAUGGGCGCAAGCCUGAUCCAGCAAUGCCGCGUGCAGGAAGAAGGCCUUCGGGUUGUAAACUGCUUUUGUACGGAGCGAAAAGGCUCCCUCUAAUACAGGGGGCUCAUGACGGUACCGUAAGAAUAAGCACCGGCUAACUCUGUGCCAGCCGCCGCGGUAA
rnacentral:rRNA from 1 species